rnacentral:rRNA from 1 species
CCUACGGGGGGCAGCAGUGAGGAAUAUUGGUCAAUGGACGAGAGUCUGAACCAGCCAAGUAGCGUGAAGGAUGACUGCCCUAUGGGUUGUAAACUUCUUUUAUAAAGGAAUAAAACGAGGCACGUGUGCCUUUUUGCAUGUACUUUAUGAAUAAGGAUCGGCUAACUCCGUGCCAGCAGCCGCGGUAAUACGGAGGAUCCGAGCGUUAUCCGGAUUUAUUGGGUUUAAAGGGAGCGUAGAUGGGUUGUUAAGUCAGUUGUGAAAGUUUGCGGCUCAACCGUAAAAUUGCAAUUGAUACUGGUAGUCUUGAGUACAGUUGAGGUAGGCGGAAUGCGUGGUGUAGCGGUGAAAUGCUUAGAUAUCACGAAGAACCCCGAUUGCGAAGGCAGCUUACUAACCUGUGACUGACAUUGAUGCUCGAAAGUGUGGGUAUCAAACAGGAUUAGAUACCCCGGUAGUC